rnacentral:rRNA from 1 species
UACGUAGGGGGCUAGCGUUGUCCGGAAUCAUUGGGCGUAAAGAGCGUGUGGGCGGCCCGGUAAGUCCGCUGUGAAAGUCGGGGGCUCAACCCUCGAAUGCCGGUGGAUACUGUCGGGCUAGAGUGCGGAAGAGGCGAGUGGAAUUCCUGGUGUAGCGGUGAAAUGCGCAGAUAUCAGGAGGAACACCGAUUGCGAAGGCAGCUCGCUGGGACGUAACUGACGCUGAGACGCGAAAGCGUGGGGAGCAAACAGG